rnacentral:rRNA from 1 species
AAUCAACGCUGGCGGCGUGCCUCAGACAUGCAAGUCGAACGAUUAAGACUUCCUUCGGGAAGUGCAUAAAGUGGCGCACGGGUGAGUAACACGUAAGUAAUCUACCCUCGAGUGGGGAAUAACGUUCGGAAACGAACGCUAAUACCGCAUAAUGCAGCGGCAUCGUAAGAUGACAGUUGUUAAAGGAGUAAUUCGCUUGAGGAGGAGCUUGCGGCAGAUUAGCUAGUUGGUAAGGUAACGGCUUACCAAGGCUACGAUCUGUAUCCGGUCUAAGAGGACGGUCGGACACACUGACACUGAAUAACGGGUCAGACUCCUACGGGAGGCAGCAGUCGGGAAUUUUGGGCAAUGGGCGAAAGCCUGACCCAGCAACGCCGCGUGAAGGAUGAAGUAUUUCGGUAUGUAAACUUCGAAAGAAUGGGAAGAAUAAAUGACGGUACCAUUUAUAAGCUCCGGCUAACUACGUGCCAGCAGCCGCAGUAAGAC